GCCGAAGUGGUGAAAUUGGUAGACGCGCUGGACUCAAAAUCCAGUAGGGCUUACACCCUGUGCCGGUUCAAGUCCGGCCUUCGGCA
rnacentral:tRNA from 1 species